ACAUUAUGGAUCAAAAUCGACCGUUAACUUUUAAAAAGUGGCUGUGGAGCGCACGCGAUGCUCGCGAUGUUCCGUAGACGUAAUCAGACGUUAAUUUAAGCUAGCAGCCACCAAGAGGAAGAGGAAGAGGACAGGUUCAGGUCAGACAGAGGAAGCCGAGGGUCCGCUUGCUGGGAAGCCCGGCACCGCCAAUCUUCAAGUUUUUUUGAGACAGGAGAGUUAUAAGGAGGAGCCUGAGCGGAAGAGGUUUGUGAAGCAGUUUUCCUCCAGUUCAGAUGGUGAUGAUGAGUUUGAAUUCUCGGAUAUUAUAGCCCUCAGCAUCACAGAGCCUCCUCAUCAGUGCCCUCCUACCCACACUGACUGAGAGCUCUCCUGCUCCAUAUGCGCCCUCAUCCAACGCCAACACCCCUGCCUUCACACAGCACAAAGGAUGGAGAUGAAUAACAGCUUCACAGCAGAUAAACAGUCUGAAAAUAAAAAAUGGAUGGUUCUUAAA